UUUAACCCACAAUCUUCAACCUCCUAUUUAUUACCGGAACGCUGCUUUAUAAAGAUAUAUCACUGGUUCACUUUCAUUAUGGUUUCCGAGCUUGUUUACGUCUGGGAUUGCCUCAAGGACUUGGGCUGCGAUAGAGGGCGGUAGUGAGGCGGUCAGACUCGUUUGGUGAGGUGAGGCGAGGCUACACUGGGAAGACCUUCAGGUAGUACAGGGAAAUUACAGGGUGAAGGUACAGCACAGCGCAGGUGUGCAGGGGUUUCUCAAGAACCUCCACUAGUUUCACAUUCCUGCUGACACUAAGCCCGGUGGAUCAAGCAAUGCAGAUAAGAGCGAGAAAAUGAGCCACAAGCCACACCAUUCCCAGAGGCGCCACCGUCCCUAGCGAGGCCUGACCUUGCUGGCUCAUCUGUGCAGUGUUGUGAAUUGCUGCAUCCGGAUGUGAUGAUCUACGGAACACGAGAUCAAGGUGGACGUUUCUCAAGUCAUCGUGGAGCGGCCAAGGAACACUCCCAUGCUUCUUAUCAAUCCUCAAUGGGGCCUGCACGGAAGGUCUGGCAGGCGGCGUGUUUGCAAGGGCGUCAUUCUAAAAAUCUUGCCUGCGCUACUGCUGCCUGGCUGACCAACUAAGCCUCCGUAAGGGAACGAGGGUACAAGACUAAAGGAAAGAUGAAUAGUGGUAAAAAUGUGUACCGGCUGCUAUAGGUUAGGAAUAUUAAAAAAAAGGUCUACAAUGUUUCCAGUAAUUGAGUGUUUAAAAUCUACGUUGCUAUUCCCUUGCAAAAAAAUACAACUACUUUUUUUUUUUUUUUCUCUCUCUCUCUCUCUCUAAGGAUAAUAGAAUAAUUUUAGUCAGCCAUUAAAAAUUCCACGUGUACAUUCUCUUCCAAUAAAAUGUCUCCAGUAAUUGAUGGCG